ACGUUCCCGGGCCUUGUACACACCGCCCGUCAAGUCACGAAAGUUGGUAACACCCGAAGCCGGUGGCCUAACCCCUUGUGGGAGGGAGCCGUCGAAGGUGGGACCGGCGAUUGGGACUAAGUCGUAACAAGGUAGCCGUACCGGAAGGUGCGGCUGGAUCACCUCCUUUCUAAGGAG
rnacentral:rRNA from 1 species